ACUAUUUAUUGUAAAGGAUUUCAAGGAAAAGGUUUCAACAUUAUCAAGAUGCCUAGAACAUUCCUUGUAGUGCUAAUUUAUAUAUUAGCGGGCUUCCUGUGUAGCACGUCUGCNUUGCGAAAAGUAAAUGAAGCAAGUGGGAUCAAAACUGAUGGAUUUUUUUGUGGCGAGCAAAUUUUAGAUAUCUAUAACACAGUUUGCAAUCCACGAAGUAUAAGAAGAAAAAGGUCACUAACAGUGGAUAAAAGAGAAGCGAAAAAAUUUAUUCGACAAAGGCGCUCAGGAUACACAAUAGUAGAAGAAUGCUGUACUGAGAGUUGCAAACUCGAGGAGGUCAACGAAUACUGUCAUCUCUUUCGUGGGCGAUGACUCGUUGAACAUGGAAUUAAAGACUUUUUAGAGAAGAUACGUACAUCCAAUUGUUAAAAAUUAUCAAUUUAUAGAGAAUUCAAUAGUGAAGAUGUAUGGGAAAGCAAUUCGAUUAACUGAAAAUAUUGCAAAUGUUUACUUAAACUGACACGGAAUGUAGGCUAUCCUUCGUCACAUCCGAACUCUUCCUUCGUUAUUCCCUCGGUAUUCCUUCGGUGGUCCUUCGGUAUUCCUUCGGUAGUCCGGAAAAGGGUCCGGUUGUGACGCAAAUAUGAACAAAAUCAUUCGUAAAUCAAUAGUGUUCGUUAAAUAGAGGUUUAUAUUUAUACAGAAACUGUAAUGAUGAGCGAGAUGCGUACCCUCCAUAUAUCGGACACUCNANCUAGCUCCGCCUUCAAUUAGUCCAUAAAAAGUUAUUGAUUUCUCGCUUACCCAAACAUCUUCGCGGUCUUAGCGUAUGAUUGUGAAAAUUAUUCCACCACAAUGAUUCUUGAAUAUGUUGUAGUGAAUAGCUAAAGUGGCUGGCUGAUAUCGUUAAAACANCAUUGAAUAUACAUAGAAAUGAGAAUCUAAUGGAUGUAAACAAUACUAGAAGCUGAUUGUAGUAAAUGGAUGACGUCACCAUGACGUCAUGCACCAGAUAAGAAGUCGAACAGUUUGAAGAAGAUUAAUAUUAUGUUAUUGACAUUAUCGCAAUAGAAAUAUAAACUUAUUACGUUUAUGUUAGAUAUUUACUGUGCUUUUAACUGAUCGCAUCAUAUCAUUUUAAAAUUUCGNUNAAGGAACUUUUUUAGCAAUGCGGCCGCCAUUUUGAAUAAGAAAGAAAUUAUGGNAUAUGUUAAGAUUUAAAACUUGGAUUAUCGAUUCAAAACAUCAAUCUUGUCAAUCAUAAUUUCUCGUUAGACGUACCCGUACUUUCUAUAGUUUUUUUUUAAUAAAACAACAACGAAAUUCAAGAUGGCGACCAUGUUGCAGAAAAGGUUUCUUGUGGAAAAGAGCGCUAUCAGAGAAACAGUCUCUAUAUAUCGAGAGAGUAAAGUUAACGAUGGAUUAGUAAAGGUUUAUAGCACCCACACUAUAAAUAUAAAUAUAUAUAUAUACACACCAAAGGAAAUAUUAUUUAUAUAACUAUGUCGAGAAUAUAUUUAACGUUGUUUAUCGCAACGAGUAAUCCAUUAAAAUCUUUGCAUAGCUGUUUCAAA
rnacentral:lncRNA from 1 species